rnacentral:lncRNA from 1 species
AAAAAAGAAAAAAAGAAAGGGAGAAAAUAAACAUGAAUUCCGAGAACUUUUAUGUAGCAGUUCGUGUGCGCCCGGCAAGUAUUUUUGAGAUCACUAAUGGAUAUAAAACAAUAACAACCGUUCUUGAAGAUAACAUGGUUUGUCUGGAAGAUCCUACUGACAACGAUGACCAGAUUCACGGAAACCGUUCCCGAGCAAAAUCAUAUGUAUUUGAUCAUGCGUUCGGUCCCAGCAGCAC